UAAGGAAUAUUGGUCAAUGGACGCAAGUCUGAACCAGCCAUGCCGCGUGAAGGAUGAAGGUCCUCUGGAUUGUAAACUUCUUUUAUCUGGGACGAAAACGGGAUUUUUAUCUCAAUUGACGGUACCAGAGGAAUAAGCACCGGCUAACUCCGUGCCAGCAGCCGCGGUAAUACGGAGGGUGCGAGCGUUAUCCGGAUUUACUGGGUUUAAAGGGUGCGUAGGUGGGCUUAUAAGUCAGUGGUGAAAUCUCCGAGCUUAACUUGGAAACUGCCGUUGAUACUAUAGGUCUUGAAUUAUCUGGAGGUGAGCGGAAUAUGUCAUGUAGCGGUGAAACGCUUAGAUAUGACAUAGAACACCAAUUGCGAAGGCAGCUUACUACAUAUAAAUUGACGCUGAGGCACGAAAGCGUGGGGAUCAAACA
rnacentral:rRNA from 1 species